UACAGGGGGUGCAAGCGUUGUUCGGAAUUACUGGGCGUAAAGGGCUCGUAGGCGGCCGGCUAAGUCCGACGUGAAAUCCCCAGGCUUAACCUGGGAACUGCGUCGGAUACUGGCGGGCUUGAAUCCGGGAGAGGGAUGCGGAAUUCCAGGUGUAGCGGUGAAAUGCGUAGAUAUCUGGAGGAACACCGGUGGCGAAGGCGGCAUCCUGGACCGGCAUUGACGCUGAAUAGCGAAAGCCAGGGGAGCAAACGGG
rnacentral:rRNA from 1 species